AUUGAACGCUGGCGGAAUGCUUUACACAUGCAAGUCGAGCGGCAGCGCGGGGGCAACCCUGGCGGCGAGCGGCGAACGGGUGAGUAAUACAUCGGAACGUGUCCUUCAAGUGGGGGAUAGCUCGGCGAAAGCCGGAUUAAUACCGCAUAAGCUCUGAGGAGGAAAGCGGGGGACUGGUAACGGCCUCGCGCUGUUGGAGCGGCCGAUGUCGGAUUAGCUAGUUGGUGGGGAAAGGCCCACCAAGGCGACGAUCCGUAGCUGGUCUGAGAGGAUGAUCAGCCACACUGGGACUGAGACACGGCCCAGACUCCUACGGGAGGCAGCAGUGGGGAAUCUUGCGCAAUGGGCGAAAGCCUGACGCAGCGACGCCGCGUGAGGGAUGACGGCCU
rnacentral:rRNA from 1 species